rnacentral:rRNA from 1 species
UACGUAAGAGACUAGUGUUAAUCAUCAUAAAUAGGUUUAAAGGGUACUCAGACGGAAAAUAUUCGCCUAAAAAAGGGACAAUUUUUCUAGAGUUUUAUGUAAGAAGAUCGUACUCUAGAGUGUAGAGAUCAUAUUUGUUGAUACCUAGGGGACUUGGUAAAGGCGAAGGCAAUCUUUUAUGUAAAAACUGACGUCGAAGGACGAAGGCAAAGGGCACGAACAGG